rnacentral:rRNA from 1 species
GACGAACGCUGGCGGCGUGCUUAACACAUGCAAGUCGAACGGAAAGGCCCUGCUUUUGUGGGGUGCUCGAGUGGCGAACGGGUGAGUAACACGUGAGUAACCUGCCCUUGACUUUGGGAUAACUUCAGGAAACUGGGGCUAAUACCGGAUAGGAGCUCCUGCUGCAUGGUGGGGGUUGGAAAGUUUCGGCGGUUGGGGAUGGACUCGCGGCUUAUCAGCUUGUUGGUGGGGUAGUGGCUUACCAAGGCUUUGACGGGUAGCCGGCCUGAGAGGGUGACCGGCAAUACUGGGAAUGAGAAACAGCCCAGAGUCAUAGGGGAGACAACAGUGGGGAAUAUUGCAAAAUGGGCGAAAGCCUGAGGCAGCAACGCAGCGGGCGGGAUGACGGCCUUCGGGUUGUAAACCGCUUUCGCCUGUGACGAAGCGUGAGUGACGGUAAUGGGUAAAGAAGAACAGGCUAACUACGUG